rnacentral:rRNA from 1 species
GGCCCCCUGGACAAGACUGACGCUCAGGUGCGAAAGCGUGGGGAGCAAACAGGAUUAGAUACCUGGUAGUCACGCUGUAAACGAUGUCGAUUUGGAGGUUGUUCCCUUGAGGAGUGGCUUCCGGAGCUAACGCGUUAAAUCGACCGCUGGGGAGUACGGCCGCAAGGUUAAAACUCAAAUGAAUUGACGGGGGCCCGCACAAGCGGUGGAGCAUGUGGUUUAAUUCGAUGCAACGCGAAGAACCUUACCUACUCUUGACAUCCAGAGAAUUUAGCAGAGAUGCUUUAGUGCCUUCGGGAACUCUGAGACAGGUGCUGCAUGGCUGUCGUCAGCUCGUGUUGUGAAAUGUUGGGUUAAGUCCCGCAACGAGCGCAACCCUUAUCCUUUGUUGCCAGCACAUUAUGGUGGGAACUCAAAGGAGACUGCCGGUGAUAAACCGGAGGAAGGUGGGGAUGACGUCAAGUCAUCAUGGCCCUUACGACCAGGGCUACACACGUGCUACAAUGGCGUAUACAAAGAGAAGCGACCUCGCGAGAGCAAGCGGAACUCAUAAAGUACGUCGUAGUCCGGAUUGGAGUCUGCAACUCGACUCCAUGAAGUCGGAAUCGCUAGUAAUCGUAGAUCAGAAUGCUACGGUGAAUACGUUCCCGGGCCUUGUACACACCGCCCGUCACACCAUGGGAGUGGGUUGCAAAAGAAGUAGGUAGCUUAACCUUCGGGAGGGCGCUUACCACUUUGUGAUUCAUGACUGGGGUGAAGUCGUAACAAGGUAACCA